GAUCAUGGCUCAGAACGAACGCUGGCGGCAGGCUUAACACAUGCAAGUUGAACGGGAGUGAUUGGAUAGCUUGCUAUUCAGUCAUGAGAGUAGCGCACUGGUGAGUAACACGUGGGAACGCACCUUUUAGUGGAGGACAACAGUUGGAAACGACUGCUAAUACCGCAUAAGCCCUAAGGGGGAAAGGAGAAAUUCGCUAAAAGAACGGCCCGCGGAAGAUUAGGCAGUUGGUGGGGUAAAGGCCUACCAAACCUACGAUCUAUAGCUGAUCUGAGAGGAUGACCAGCCACAUUGGAACUGAGACACGGUCCAGACUCCUACGGGAGGCAGCAGUGAGGAAUAUUGGGCAAUGGAGGAAACUCUGACCCAGCCAAUGCCGCGUGAGUGAGAAGGUCUUCGGAUUGUAAAGCUCCUUUAUGCAGGAAGAUGAUGACAGUACUGCAAGAAAAAGCACCGGCAAACUUCGUGCCAGCCGCCGC
rnacentral:rRNA from 1 species